AUUGAACGCUGGCGGCAGGCCUAACACAUGCAAGUCGAACGAGUGGCGGACGGGUGAGUAAUGUCUGGGAAACUGCCUGAUGGAGGGGGAUAACUACUGGAAACGGUAGCUAAUACCGCAUACCAUCGGAUGUGCCCAGAUGGGAUUAGCUAGUAGGUGGGGUAAAGGCUCACCUAGGCGACGAUCCCUAGCUGGUCUGAGCGGAUGACCAGCCGCACUGGAACUGAGACACGGUCCAGACUCGUACGGGAGGCAGCAGUGGGGAAUAGUGCACACUGGGCGCAAGCCUGAUGCAGCCACGCCGCGUGUAUGAAGAAGGCCUUCGGGGUGUAAAGUACUUUCAGCUGGGAGGCGUUCCCCGCAGAAGAAGCACCGGCUAACUCCGUGCCAGCAGCCGCGGUAAUUC
rnacentral:rRNA from 1 species